rnacentral:rRNA from 1 species
CUCGUGUCGUGAGAUGUUCGGUUAAGUCCGCUAACGAGCGCAACCCUCGCUGCGUGUUACAAGUGUCACGCGGGACCGCCGGUAUUAAGCCGGAGGAAGGUGGGGAUGACGUCAAGUCAGCAUGGCCUUUAUGUCCUGGGCUACACACACGCUACAAUGGCCAGCACAGUAGGUUGCGAAACCGCGAGGUGGAGCCAAUCCCUAAAGUUGGCCUCAGUUCAGAUUGUAGGCUGCAACCCGCCUGCAUGAAGAUGGAGUUGCUAGUAAACGCAGGUCAGCUACACUGCGUUGAAUACGUUCCCGGAGAUU